CAGUCGCCGCGGUAAUACGAAGGGUGCAAGCGUUACUCGGAAUUACUGGGCGUAAAGCGUGUGUAGGUGGUUGUUUAAGUCUGUCGUGAAAGCCCUGGGCUCAACCAGGGAAUUGCGAUGGAUACUGGGCGACUAGAGUGCGGUAGAGGAUAGUGGAAUUUCCGGUGUAGCAGUGAAAUGCGUAGAGAUCUGGAGGAAUACCGGUGGCGAAGGCGGCCCCCUGGACAAAGACUGACGCUCAGGUGCGAAAGCGUGGGGAGCAAACAGGAUUAGAUACCCCUGUAGUCCCUGUCUCUUAUAU
rnacentral:rRNA from 1 species